rnacentral:lncRNA from 13 species
AUGAUCCUUCGUCAUAAGCCCGUUUGGAGGUUCAAGAAGGGGUCGGCUCAACUUCAGGGCCUCAUUACCCAAGCCCGGCUGCCCCUCGGCGCCACCAGCACCACUGCUCAGUCGCUGUGGAAUUCCAAAAGCAGCCCCGAGCUCCCGGAGCCGCCCGGCCAGCGUCCGGCCUCCCCGAUCAUCUCCGGCCCGCGCCCUCGCCCUAGCCCGGCGCACACCCAGCAGCCGCGGGCCCCGAGCAGCCACCGCCCCAACCGCGCGCCAGCCCUGCCCGCAGCGGCGCGGUACCAGGGCGUAUUUCAUGCGGAUAGAUGACAUAAAGCUCUGGAGGAAGGAGCAUUUCACAUUGGAGGGAGUAGUGAGAAGAGCCUGGUCUGAUAAUAUCAGGGUGGGGUGGGAAGGGUCUGUUCCUCAUCAUUCAUGUUCUCUGGGCAUGGAGAAUUGUGCGGAGGACUCAGGAUUGAGGACCACACUCAAAUGGGGCUUGAUCUCCACUUUGCCCUGUGGUGGCCCCAUGGUGACUGUGUGGUUCCUGGGCAGCUUGUCCAUGUUGCUGGGUCUCUGUUGCUUCACUGGAUGAUGUCUGCCUCCCAGGGAUGCAGGAAGAUUC